rnacentral:rRNA from 1 species
GACGAACGCUGGCGGCGUGCCUAAUACAUGCAAGUAGAACGCUGAAGGAGGAGCUUGCUUCUCUGGAUGAGUUGCGAACGGGUGAGUAACGCGUAGGUAACCUGCCUGGUAGCGGGGGAUAACUAUUGGAAACGAUAGCUAAUACCGCAUAAUAGCAGUUGUUGCAUGACAACUGUUUGAAAGGUGCAAUUGCACCACUACCAGAUGGACCUGCGUUGUAUUAGCUAGUUGGUGGGGUAACGGCUCACCAAGGCGACGAUACAUAGCCGACCUGAGAGGGUGAUCGGCCACACUGGGACUGAGACACGGCCCAGGCUCCUACGGGAGGCAGCAGUAGGGAAUCUUCGGCAAUGGACGGAAGUCUGACCGAGCAACGCCGCGUGAGUGAAGAAGGGUUUCGGAUCGUAAAGCUCUGUUGUAAGAGAAGAACGAGUGUGAGAGUGGAAAGUUCACACUGUGACGGUAUCUGACCAGAAAGGGACGGCUAACUACGUG